UNNNNNANCUUNCCNCNUNNNGNGGGGAUNNUAUUGGNAANGAUAAGUUAAUNCCCGCAUAAGAACAUUUACNNCAUGGUAGAUGUUUGNAAAGGUGCAAAAAGCAUCNCUNCCAGAUGGACCUGCGUUUUAUUAGCUAGUUGGUGAGGUAACGGCUCACCAAGGCAACGAUACAUAGCCGACCUGAGAGGGUGAUCGGCCACACUGGGACUGAGACGCGGCCCAGACUCCUACGGGAGGCAGCAGUAGGGAAUCUUCGGCAAUGGGGGGAACCCUGACCGAGCAACGCCGCGUGAGUGAAGAAGGUUUUCGGAUCGUAAAGCUCUGUUGUUAAGGAAGAACGUGUGUGAGAGUGGAAAGUUCACACAGUGACGGUACUUAACCAGAAAGGGACGGCUAACUACGUGCCAGCAGCCGCGGUAAUACGUAGGUCCCGAGCGUUGUCCGGAUUUAUUGGGCGUAAAGCGAGCGCAGGCGGUUAGAUAAGUCUGAAGUGAAAGGCAGUGGCUCAACCAUUGUAGGCUUUGGAAACUGUUUAACUUGAGUGCAGAAGGGGAGAGUGGAAUUCCAUGUGUAGCGGUGAAAUGCGUAGAUAUAUGGAGGAACACCGGUGGCGAAAGCGGCUCUCUGGUCUGUAACUGACGCUGAGGCUCGAAAGCGUGGGGAGCGAACAGG
rnacentral:rRNA from 1 species